rnacentral:rRNA from 1 species
UACGAAGGGUGCAAGCGUUACUCGGAAUUACUGGGCGUAAAGCGUGCGUAGGUGGUUGUUUAAGUCUGCUGUGAAAGCCCUGGGCUCAACCUGGGAAUUGCAGUGGAUACUGGGCGACUAGAGUGUGGUAGAGGAUAGUGGAAUUUCCGGUGUAGCAGUGAAAUGCGUAGAUAUCGUAAGGAAGACCAGUGGCGAAGGCGAGUCUCUGGACAGUUACUGACGCUGAGGCACGAAGGCCAGGGGAGCAAACGGG